ensembl:lncRNA
GAUCAAGACCAGAAGAAGAAUCCCAGCACCCCUCCACCCGCAUCUUACCCCCUCCUCUCCAGCUUUAGCAUAAUUGCAUUCUCCAAAUGGUGUGUGGCAGCAGGAUAAGCUGAAAGGUCACUAGGAAGACGCCGAGUCACCCCACUGCAGACAGGCAGGUCUGCCCACGCCCUACCGAGGUCCCCAGUCUCGCGGAACACGCCGAAUCAGCCCGCUGCAGACAGGCAGGUCUGUGCACGCCCUACCGAGGUCCUGAGUCAAGCGGAAAACGCCGAAUCGGCCCGCUGCAGCUGCAGACAGGCAGGUCUGCCCACACCCUACCGAGGUCCCCAGUCUCGCGGAACACAUGCCGAAUCAGCCCGCUGCAGACAGGCAAGUCUGUGCAAGCCCUACCGAGGUCCUGAGUCACGAGGAAGACACCGAAUCACCCCACUGCAGACAGACAGCCACCUGAUUCCACAUUGCCAAGGCGCAGAGGACACCAGACCACCAGACCAAGUUUUGGUGUCAUGUGUCCUCUCCUGUCUUUCCUCAGGCUCUUGGUUGAAUGACUUAGAUCUCUGGAUUUCUACUUGUCAUCAAAUUUGGCCAUUCCUGGCAAAUGGAAUGAUAUGUAAGACAACAACAGGAGCAUGAAACAACAGGAUUCAUUUAGUACGAAUGCAAUAGGGGACAACGGCAUGUUCUGAGGCAGGAAGGUAUGAAAAGAAAGAAAGGAGGGACCAAAAGGGAUUUAGCAGCAUUCCUCCACCAUACCUUUGGGCCAUGCCAGUUCUGCUUUGGAGACUUCCAUCCACACAUGGACCAAGCCCUCUGAAAUCAAAAGAAAAAUGAACUUUUCAUCCUUUAUGUUGCUGGUGAUGGGUAUUCUGUGCCAGCAACAGGAAGGUCACUAAUACAAUUUUAUUUUCAGGCAAAUCUGCCUCUUGGAAUCAGGCAGAUCCUUGCAUUAUCCCAUGAACAGUGCCAUAGUUGAAGCUCAGUUUCCUCAUCCAUCAAGUGGAGAUACUAAAAAUGGUUAUUUCAUAGGGUGACUGUGAGGAGCCUGUAAGAUUACAUAUAUAAAAUCAUGUACAACUGACUUGAAUAGUAGUGUUUGUCCCUCUUCCCUCUUUUCUCCAAUCUAGCUUACAGAUAAAUGUUAAU